UGCUCCGAGUACGAGAGGAAAGGAGUG
rnacentral:misc_RNA from 1 species